CUUUGAUGGUGGAAUACAGGAGAGUUUAACCUCAGGCCCUGCAGGAGAGUUGAGGCAAGGUGUCCCUCUGGUCCCAAGAAGAAGGGGAUGCUGCCCUUCAGACUCUGCAUAGGUCUGGAAUGCCAGUGGCUUUUGGGUAGUGAGGUGGCAGUGUUGGGGACGUUGAGAAGGUGGAUGAUGUUAUUGUCAGUGACUCCACAACUCCUGCCUUUUGAUAUUCCAGCCACGUAAAGCUGCAACUAAGGUUUCCCAGCAAAGACUUGGAAUGCAAAGCACACUUUAAAGUGUGUGAGUUUGUGUGUAGCGGGGGAUGCGGGGUGGGACUGUGUGAGGUGUGGGGUGUGUGGUGUAUGUGGUGUGUGUGUGUGAGAUGUGUGUUUGUGAGGUAUAUGGAGGUGUGUGUGAUGUGUGAGGUAUGUGGGGGGUGUGUGUGUGGUGCGUGUGUGUGGUGUUUGGUGUGUGAGGUGUGUGGUGUAUGUGUGGUGUGUGUGGUGUAUGUGUUGUGUGUGGUGUGUGUGUGUGUAGCGUGUGAGGUAUGUGGUGUGUGUAUGUGGUAUGUGGUAUGGGGGCAUGUGUGUGUGGUAUAUGUGUGAGGUAUGUGGUGUGUGUGUGUUUGGUAUGUGUAUGAGGUAUGUGGGGGUGUGCAUGUGUGAGGUAUGUGGUGUGGGGGGCAUGUGUGUGUGUGGUAUGUGUGUGGGGGGUGUGAGGUAUAUGGUGUAUAUGUUGGGGGGUACAUGAGGUAUGUGAUAACUGAUUCUGGAGCUAAUUUAUCCUCCUUAUUCUGUCAGGUGUGAUCUGAAUCAUUUCCUUGGCUCACAUCUGAUGACGCCCUUAUUCUUUACAAGGCCUCACACCUCAGUCACUUUAGGUUCUAUUUCCUUUUUCCUCCUCUUUGGCGCCUUUUCAGCUGGGCUGUCCCACUCUUCUUUCUGGAUAGGCCUUCCUUUCUCCUUCCUCUCCUCUCUCCUCACAUAUCGGCCACACUCACCUGCAAACACUCUUCUUGAGAAGAAGGGCUUAGAUAUGUCUUAGUAAAGACUGUUUAAAAUCAGCUGGGCUAGGCCGGGCGUGGUGGCUCACGCCUGUAAUCCGAGCACUUUGGGAGGCCAAGGUGGGCAGAUUAUGAAGUCAGGAGAUUGAGACCAUCCUGGCUAACAUGUUG
rnacentral:lncRNA from 1 species